rnacentral:rRNA from 1 species
ACGCUCGACACCUACAGGAGGCAGCAGUGGGGAAUAUUGCACAAUGGGGGAAACCCUGAUGCAGCGACGCCGCGUGAGCGAAGAAGUAUUUCGGUAUGUAAAGCUCUAUCAGCAGGGAAGAAGAAAGACGGUACCUGACUAAGAAGCCCCGGCUAACUACGUGCCACAGCCGCGGUAAUCUGAGCGGGCUGGCAAGGC